UACCAAAGGCCGGGCAACCGGUCACUGAAGGAUGGGCCUGCGUCUGAUUAGCUAGUUGGUGGGGUAACGGCCCACCAAGGCGACGAUCAGUAGCCGGUCUGAGAGGAUGAACGGCCACAUUGGGACUGAGACACGGCCCAAACUCCUACGGGAGGCAGCAGUGGGGAAUCUUCCGCAAUGGGCGCAAGCCUGACGGAGCAACGCCGCGUGAGUGAAGAAGGUUUUCGGAUCGUAAAGCUCUGUUGAGAGGGACGAGAGGCAAGGCUAGGAAAUGAGCUUUGUAGGACGGUACCUUUCGAGGAAGCCACGGCUAACUACGUGCCAGCAGCCGCGGUAAUACGUAGGUGGCGAGCGUUGUCCGGAAUUAUUGGGCGUAAAGGGAGCGCAGGUGGGAAAGUAAGUCAGUCUUAAAAGUGCGGGGCUCAACCCCGUGAGGGGAUUGAAACUACUUUUCUUGAGUGCAGGAGAGGAAAGCGGAAUUCCUAGUGUAGCGGUGAAAUGCGUAGAUAUUAGGAGGAACACCAGUGGCGAAGGCGGCUUUCUGGACUGUAACUGACACUAAGGCUCGAAAG
rnacentral:rRNA from 1 species